UUCUGAUAAGGAAUGCUAAUCUCCCCCCCACAACACACACACACACACACACACACACACAGCUAGUGGGAGGAUAAUAAUACCUGUACACAGGUGAAUGAUGGAGAUUUCAUUGUGUAGGGGAAUUCCACCGGAAGGUUUUUGCAUUAAUUCCCGUCAGUCAACCAAACCCUCAUUUUAAAAAUCACUCACACACACACACACACACACACACACACACUAUUUUCUAUAACUGCAGGUGCAGCCAUCGUGCCCAUGGUAUUUACUCUGGAAAUUAUUCGCACAUUUUCUGGCUGAAAUAACGGGGAAAAAAUUCAGACGCCCACGACGCGUGUGCUUUUCUCCGUAACUAACGAGACAAAGCGUCUCAUAUCUGCGCAUACGUCAGGGUCAACCUCAUCCAAAACCUACAGGUUUCUGGCAACGCCUUAGCCGACCGGGUCGUUUGAUUAAAGGGGGCGGGACGAACGUAAUGCAGCCGCGUUACGUUAUCUUGAGCGUUACACAUUGCUCUGUGCGCAUUUGAAGCGUUGUCGGGCUGCUGCUAUUCGAACCCGUUUAAAGGUUUUACGCGUGACGGAUUUUUACGGCGCGACACUAAAAGGACAAAACGUAAACUAGACUUUAAACGAAGGGGCGCCGCGUAAAGCCGCCGCUGUUUCGACUCCAACGUCUCGGCUGGAAGCUCGGAUUUUUUUUUUAUCCUCCCCUUCGUGCGUGAUUUUCUCUUUCAGUGAAAGUGCCACCUGUUCAUCUGCAGGACGAAAGAAAGAACGGAUCGUACUGAACGUUCCUCAGCCGCUUCCCGGGAGAGCCGCCAUGCUUACAGCCCGGAAAGAGCCACCAGAACUGGAGCGUGCGGAGUGGAGUGGUGAUCGGAGGUGCACUCGGUCUUUAGAGAGAGAUGGAGGGGGUUUGAUUGACAGAACGUGUGCUCUCGGGCUCUGAGCGAGUCUUCAUGCAGAACCAGUGAAAUAUAAUCAGCCAACAAGCCGUGAACAUCGACUGCCCGUGUGGGGUCUAUUAACACAACGCCAGCAUCUCCACCAUCUCAGUGCUCCACACACCCCCACCUGCAUCCGCAGAUGCAGCUGGAGUGGGCGUGGCCUAAACCCAAAAAGGUUCUCUAGCUCUCCUUCACUUCCUUCCUUCUUUUCUCAUCAUUCUUUCAAAUAUAAAGUGCAUGUGGCGUAAACAAACGAAAGCUUCUCUUUCUUUCCUUCUGUUUCUGGCCCUUUCCUCUUUCUUUCUUUCUUUCCCUCAUUCCUUCCCUCUGUUUCUGGCCCUUUCCUCUUUCUUUCUUUCCAUUCCCAGUCAUUUUCUCUUUCUAGAACAGGAAAGAGGCCACAAACGGUCAGGGAUGACUCAGUAGUGAACUCUGGUCAUUAUCGUAUGUUCUCGGAGAUGAAACCUGUCAGGUUGGCGGUGAUACUCGGGUUUCCUGACGGAACACAGUCGGAGCACGGAGACUACGUGGCUGGGAGUUAAUCAUCCCUCCUUCCGGCUCUCGGGUCAGAGAGAAAUGUCAGCGUCGCUUUUAUUGACGAGAGCUCUUUUGGAACUUACUUGGGAAUGAGAGAAAGCUGGCCGAUGCUGGAGUGGUGCCACACGGCGUGUGCUAACGCUAGCACGUAGCUGCAGUACAUCUCCGAAUACGACUGGUGGCACGCCGUGAAGUCCAGCAGCUGGAAGGGAUAACCAACCCACUCUGCAUCCGAGG